rnacentral:rRNA from 1 species
CGCGAAACCUUUACACUGCACGAGAGUGCGAUAAGGGGACUCCCAGUGCGAGGGCAUACAGUCCUCGCUUUUCUGGACCGUAGGGAGGUCCAGGAACAAGUGCUGGGCAAGACCGGUGCCAGCCGCCGCGGWAAWACCGGCAGCACGAGUGAUGGCCGAUAUUAUUGGGCCUAAAGCGUCCGUAGCCAGCCAGACAAGUCCGUUGGGAAAUCCACGUGCUCAACACGUGGGCGUCCAGCGGAAACUGUCUGGCUUGGGGCCGGAAGACCCAAGGGGUACGUCCGGGGUAGGAGUGAAAUCCCGUAAUCCUGGACGGACCGCCGAUGGCGAAAGCACCUUGGGAGGACGGACCCGACGGUGAGGGACGAAAGCCAGGGUCUCGAACCGGAUUAGAUACCCGGGUAGUCCUGGCCGUAAACGAUGUCCGCUAGGUGUGGCGCAGGCUACGAGCCUGCGCUGUGCCGUAGGGAAGCCGUGAAGCGGACCGCCUGGGAAGUACGUCUGCAAAGAUGAAACUUAAAGGAAUUGGCGGGGGAGCACUACAACCGGAGGAGCCUGCGGUUUAAUUGGAAUCA